UACGAAGGGGGCUAGCGUUGUUCGGAUUUACUGGGCGUAAAGCGCGCGUAGGCGGAUUCUUAAGUCAGGGGUGAAAUCCCGGGGCUCAACCUCGGAACUGCCCUUGAUACUGGGAAUCUCGAGUUCGGGAGAGGUGAGUGGAACUGCGAGUGUAGAGGUGAAAUUCGUAGAUAUUCGCAAGAACACCAGUGGCGAAGGCGGCUCACUGGCCCGAUACUGACGCUGAGGCGCGAAAGCGUGGGGAGCAAACAGG
rnacentral:rRNA from 2 species